GACGUAGGGCGCGAGCGUUGUCCGGAUUUAUUGGGCGUAAAGAGCUCGUAGGCGGCUUGUUGCGUCGGCCGUGAAAACCUGCAGCUUAACUGUGGGCUUGCGGUCGAUACGGGCAUCACUGGAGUUCGGCAGGGGAGACUGGAAUUCCUGGUGUAGCGGUGAAAUGCGCAGAUAUCAGGAGGAACACCGGUGGCGAAGGCGGGUCUCUGGGCAGUAACUGACGCUGAGGAGCGAAAGCGUGGGGAGCGAACAGG
rnacentral:rRNA from 1 species